rnacentral:pre_miRNA from 1 species
AUACUACUCCAUCUGUCCGGAAAUACUUGUCACUGGAAUGAACAUGUCUAAACGUAUUUUAGUUUUAGAUGCAUCCAUUUAUAUCCAUUUCGUGACAAAUAUUUCCAAACGAAGGGAGUAUGUC